rnacentral:rRNA from 1 species
CCUACGGGAGGCAGCAGUGAGGAAUAUUGGUCAAUGGAGGGAACUCUGAACCAGCCAUGCCGCGUGCGGGAGGAAGGCCCUAGUGGUCGUAAACCGCUUUUGACGGGGGGCAAUAAGGGCGAUGCGUCGUCCGAUGAGAGUACCCGUCGAAUAAGCAUCGGCUAACUCCGUGCCAGCAGCCGCGGUAAU